UCUUCUUUUCUUGUUGUUGUUUUUAUUGUUGCUGUCUAUUGAUUUUAUUUAUUAUUGUUUUUGUUGAGAUUUGAUGUUUAACUAUUCUAUUGAUUUUAUUUUGUUGUUGGUGUUGUUGUUGGUGGUGGUGUUCUUCUUCUUCUUCUUCUUCUUCUUCUUCUUCUCCUUUUUCAGCUUCUUCUUUUUCUUCUUCUUCUUCUUCUUAUCAUUAUUGUUGAUGU
rnacentral:lncRNA from 1 species